ACUAGAGUGCCUGAGUUAAGGAAUACUUUGAUAAAGUAUACAUGGUAUAAGAGAUUAUACCCUCUAGUA
rnacentral:tRNA from 1 species